rnacentral:rRNA from 1 species
GAUGCCGACCGGCGAUCCGCAGUCGUUAACUGAAUGACUCUGCGGGCAGCCUCCGGGAAACCAGAGUGUUUGGGUUCCGGGGGAAGUAUGGUUGCAAAGCUGAAACUUAAAGGAAUUGACGGAAGGGCACCACCAGGAGUGGAGCCUGCGGCUUAAUUUGACUCAACACGGGAAAUCUCACCAGGCCCGGACACCGGAAGGAUUGACAGAUUGAGAGCUCUUUCUUGAUUCGGUGGGUGGUGGUGCAUGGCCGUUCUUAGUUGGUGGAGCGAUUUGUCUGGUUAAUUCCGAUAACGAACGAGACUCUGGCCUACUAACUAGACGUCGGAUCCCUUUGUGGGUCCGUCGCAGCUUCUUAGAGGGACGGGCGGCGUUUAGCCGCACGAGAAUGAGCAAUAACAGGUCUGUGAUGCCCUUAGAUGUUCUGGGCUGCACGCGCGCUACACUGAAGGAAUCAGCAUGUGUUCCCUAUCUGAAAGGAUUGGGCAACCCGUUGAAACUCCUUCGUGAUGGGGAUUGGGGAUUGCAAUUAUUUCCCAUGAACGAGGAAUUCCCAGUAGGUGCGAGUCAUCAGCUUGCGCCGAUUACGUCCCUGCCCUUUGUACACACCGCCCGUCGCUACUACCGAUCGAGUGAUUUAGUGAGGACUUCGGACUGGUCUUCAAUGUGGCUUUCGGGUCAUGUCGUAGUACCGGAAAGAUGCCCAAACUUGAUCACUUAGAGGAAGUAAAAGUCGUAACAAGGUUUCCGUAGG